UUGUGAGUGAAACUUCUGAAACUUGACACAUGACAUCAAUUCUAGAUAGUCGACUAUUGGUAAUAGAUAAUUAUAACAUUUACUCCAUCCUUUUAUAAAUCAUUAUCAACUUUAGCUAUGUUUUAUAUAUGGCACUACAGCCAUACUAUAUCUAUUAUAUGAGGGAAGAACAUAUUAUUUGAGAUUCUAUCUUUCAAAUUUUGCGACU
rnacentral:lncRNA from 1 species